GGCAGCUCGCUUCGGCGGGUUGUAGCCGCUCACCUUCCGCAGGCUUCUUUAUCGUUACCAUUCUCUUCUCCCGCACCUCACGAGAUGAGAAAUGCAGUAAUCAUCACUGGUAGAAAUGAAAAGGAAAGAACGGCAGAGAAUUGGUUUAUUCCUUCUCUGAGACAAUGGCUGGGCUAUUUUGGCACUGAAUCUAGACCCGGAUUGUUUCCCAAAAUUAAACAAUAUCUUUGAAGAGGAAAACUUGGGAUUCCGCUGUCUUUCAACCUUCAUUUAUUGUACUCCACUUGACCUUUAGCUUCAGCUUCAAAAGCCAGCAGACCAGAAGAUUCUGUUCUGCAUGCUGACCUCAUGAGCCAAGCUUGUAUAUCCAGAAUAUAUCGGAUACUUGCCCUGCUGAGAUCGCUCUGAAUGAGUCUAAUAAGAGAAGUUACUCUGUCUAUUUAGAUUUUUUUUUUUUUUUUCUCAGUUAUCCAGUACAGAACUGAAGACGAUUUUCUGAGAUUUUCUUGUACAAAAUCAAAAAGAUAUUGUUUGUUAUACAUUAUUAUUGCUUAACAUUAAAAAACUAAUUGUGUUCUCUCUGUUUUUCUUGUUUGCUUUUCUACUGUUUGUGGAUGGAUGAAAUUCUGUUUAGAGUCUGAUUUUAUGAGAAUUUGUACUUUUUAAUGCAAAGGCUAAGUACGGUCUAAUGCUUCUAUGUGACUACGGAGCUUUGGUGGCACACAGUAAAUAGUAUUUUCUUAUCAUUUCUGAUCUAUUAUGAGGUGGAAAAUUGCAGGGUUUUAGUUAUUUGGUAAUGCAUUAGCUGUUUCCACAAUUCCAUCAGGAAUGGGUAAAAUGAGUGUAUAAAAACUGUCACAUAGUCAUUUUGGAUAACGAAGCAAAACAGAAAUAUUGCAUGAAAAUAAGGCAGCCAUACUGGAGAAUAUGAGCAAAUUAGAGUGAACUGAACACAGGACUCUCAUCCUUAAUCACUUGCUGGAGUUAGUAAAGUGACAGUUAUUUGCAACAGGAUGCAAAACUACAUAAUCAACAACGUUGGACACAUUUCAGUGAAAAUCAAAGCAAAAGCCACUUUCUGAAAACAUUGUGCAAGUCAAUAAAGUCAUAUUCAUGUAGUUUAGAAAAUGUGCUUGGGUUUGUCAUGGGUUUAAAAUAAAGCAAAGUUAAGCCUUA